GAACGCACCUUGCGCCCUCUGGUGUUCCGGAGGGCAUGCCUGUUUGAGUGUCUUGAUAUCAUCAAACCCCUUGGGUUCGCGCCCGUUGCGGUUUGGAGUUGGGGGCUUGCUGCCGCGAGGCGGCUCCCCUUAAAAUCAUCGGUUUGGCCCGCACCAUGCGGCUUGCACCUUUGGCGUUGUAUUUUCCUCGCCUUCAAUCGGUCUCGCUCGCUUCCGCGCCUCACCUCGACUUGCCCUUUGGGCGGCAGUCACUUCUUGACAAUCUGGCCUCAAAUCAGGUAGGACUACCCGCUGAACUUAA
rnacentral:misc_RNA from 1 species